UACAUGGGGUGCAAACGUUGCUCGGAAUUAUUGGGCGUAAAGCGCGCGUAGGCGGUUAUCUAAGUCGGAUGUGAAAGCCCUCGGCUUAACUGAGGAAGUGCACCCGAAACUGGAUAGCUAGAGUACGAAAGAGGGUCGCGGAAUUCCCGGUGUAGAGGUGAAAUUCGUAGAUAUCGGGAGGAACACCGGUGGCGAAGGCGGCGACCUGGGUCGAGACUGACGCUGAGGCGCGAAAGCGUGGGGAGCAAACAUG
rnacentral:rRNA from 1 species